rnacentral:lncRNA from 1 species
AAUUGGUUUGAUGGGUUCCGCAAUGCGGUUCUGAUGGGGUCCACAUUGGUUCUGCAUGGGGUCACAAUGGUUCUGAUGGGUCCAAUGGGUUCUGAUGGGUCCAAUUGGUUCUGAUGGGUCCCAAUUGGUUCUGAUGGGUCCCAAUGGGUUCUGAUGGGUCCCAAUGGGUUCUGAUGGGUCCAAUGGGUUCUGAUGGGUCCCAAUGGGUUCUGAUGGGUCCCAAUGGGUUCUGAUGGGUCCAAUGCUGACCCAAUAUUGGUUCUGAUGGGUCCCAAUUGGUUCUGAGGGUCUCCCAAUUGGUUCUGAUGGGUCCAAUGGGGC